rnacentral:lncRNA from 1 species
UUCUAUUUGUACGGAACAUAACUACCUAUUAUUACUUUUUAAUUCUAAAAUAAAUUAAAAAAUUAAAAAAAAAAAAAAGAUAAACACAAGCGGUGAAUGUUAAGCACAAAACAAAAGUAAGCAUCAGUCUUCAAUAUGGGGCCAUACAUUGGUCAAAUGUCCGUUGGUUGUGGAAAUCAGCAAAUUACGUCAAUAUGGGGCAAGUCGAAAACACUUGUACAUGUUAGCUAAAUUUAUCAAAGAGCAUCUUUAAGAGAGUUGUCAAAUGUAAAAUGUUAAAUUUGAAUGUGAUAGUUUAUGUGGUAAUUUGACACUUG